rnacentral:rRNA from 1 species
UAGGGAAUCUUCCACAAUGGACGCAAGUCUGAUGGAGCAACGCCGCGUGAGUGAAGAAGGCUUUCGGACCGUAAAGCUCUGUUGUUGGUGAAGAAGGAUAGAGGUAGUAACUGGCCUUUAUUUGACGGUAAUCAACCAGAAAGUCACGGCUAACUACGUGCCAGCAGCCGCGGUAAUACGUAGGUGGCAAGCGUUGUCCGGAUUUAUUGGGCGUAAAGCGAGCGCAGGCGGAAGAAUAAGUCUGAUGUGAAAGCCCUCGGCUUAACCGAGGAAUUGCAUCGGAAACUGUUUUCUUGAGUGCAGAAGAGGAGAGUAGAACUCCAUGUGUAGCGGUGGAAUGCGUAGAUAUAUGGAAGAAUACCAGUGGCGAAGGCGGCUCUCUGGUCUGCAACUGACGCUGAGGCUCGAAAGCAUGGGUAGCGAACAGGAUUAGAUACCCUGGUAGUCCAUGCCGUAAACGAUGAGUGCUAAGUGUUGGGAGGCUUCCGCCUCUCAGUGCUGCAGCUAACGCAUUAAGCACUCCGCCUGGGGGAGUACGACCGCAAGGUUGAA